AUACCUCACAAAGCUGCACCUUUCCUCAGCUUUCCUGACAAUUUCCCAAUAUGUUCUCCAACUAUGUGCCAAGACUGACCUUUUCCUCCCUAAGAGAUAUCAGUUAAGCCCACAGGAAAGGCACAUCUGUCUCACUGCUGAGAGCUGGCCAGGAGCUCUGCAAAUGUUGGCUGCUCUGUCAGGAUAACUGGAGAAGGCCAAAAGAGCACAAGUGUGGGAAUACUACAAGAAAUGCUUACAGAUGGACUGAUUCUCUCUAGAUGGGAUUGAAAUAGCUGAACAUGUGCAGUCUGGACUUCUGCAGAUCAAAGGUCUUUACCUCCAGUCAGGAUUGAUCUUACAUGAAGAACAACAGAAGAACACUUGAAGAGAUAGUUUCCUGAAUUUACUUGCAACAAGAUGAUCUGAAAACCAUGCUUCUUGUCUGUGUAAUGCUCCUGAAAAUACGCUGCACGUCAGACAAACACAGAAAACCUUGCUCUUGUUUAAGAAGCAGG